UACGUAGGGGGCAAGCGUUGUCCGGAUUUAUUGGGCGUAAAGAGCGUGUAGGCGGCUAAAUAGGUCCGUUGUGAAAACUCGAGGCUCAACCUCGAGAUGCCGAUGGAAACCAUUUGGCUAGAGUCCGGAAGAGGCGAGUGGAAUUCCCCGGUGUAGCGGUGAAAUGCGCAGAUAUCGGGAGGAACACCAAUGGCGAAGGCAGCUCGCUGGGACGGUACUGACGCUGAGACGCGAAAGCGUGGGGAGCAAACAGG
rnacentral:rRNA from 1 species